CCUCCAGAGUGCAAGGAUCCUAGGCAGAGCUAUCCCGCCUGGCCAACCAUUUCUCUUUACAAGUUGAUGAACUCAGGAAAGACCGCUCAGUCUACUGUGUGUGUCCAGUCUGUACUACUUGGGCAGCCUCAUGUCAGCAAGGACUUCUCGGACUCUUCCCACGACUGAUGAUGCAAGGGACCUGGGACAGAUAAGGUAAAGGUACCUACAGUGUUUUCACCUUUUCUGUAGGCUGCUCAUCCUGCUCCCCACAGCUCCCGGGCCCCACUCACCAAU